rnacentral:lncRNA from 1 species
AAUUUAAGUUUUAAUUCACUAGAUAUUUAGGUACAAUAAAUACCUUGCAAAAAAAAAAAUUCUUUGAUGCAAAUUUUGAAGAAUCUGAGUUAGCCUUCCCUGUGUUCCAAAACUCUAAAAAAUACUUGUUAUAUUUGUUGGGUUGAGAAGAUGAUUUGCAUCGCCUCUAGUGCUGAAGUAAGAUCCACUAAGAGCACAUUAGUGUUAUGUCAUGGACGUGAAGUUUAUUAUAGGUG